GGAGGCCGGAAGUCUGAAAGCAGUAUCAGUAGGUGGAAAUCAGGGUGCCCAGCUUCUGGUGGCUGUGACAUUCCUUGGCUUAAGGCUGAGCUCAUUGAUGAAGAAGUCUUGAGUUCAUCAUUUUUUCUUCUCUAAUAGCUGAGAUGGCAGUCAAUGAGAGUGACUGCAGAAAGUUUCAGAAGGACACAUGGGAAUCAUUUAACCAGGCCAAUAAAAUCAGCUAUUUAUACACUUCCCCCGGAAGACAUAGCCCUUGCUUCACUGUCUGAAGGAGAGAAAAUGCAAAAGUGAUAAAGGCAUGAAAAAGUCAUAUUCCUGAGCUACAAGAGAGAAACUGAGGACAGUGGAGAUGAGAAUAAAAUCCCUAAAGCUUAAAGGAUGCUGGAUCUGGAUUCUACUGGAUGUUGGUGCUGAAGAGUGGGACUGUCCUAUCCUUUUCACAUAUGUUAGAGGUCACACACAGGGAGCCCACAGACCCCAGCAUGCCAAUAAACGUGUUUCUUGUGACCCAUACAAUGUUUCUGAAAAGCAUUUGAAUUAGUUACCCACAUUUAAAUUGGGAAGAUUUCA
rnacentral:lncRNA from 10 species